rnacentral:rRNA from 1 species
UACGGAGGGUGCGAGCGUUGUCCGGAAUCAUUGGGCGUAAAGGGCGCGUAGGUGGCCCGGUCAGUCCGUGGUGAAAGCGCGGGGCUCAACCCCGCGUCGGCCAUGGAUACUGCUGGGCUGGAGCACUGUAGAGGCAGGCGGAAUUCCGGGUGUAGCGGUGGAAUGCGUAGAGAUCCGGAAGAACACCGGUGGCGAAGGCGGCAUCCUGGACCAACACUGACGCUGAGUGAGCGAAAGCCAGGGGAGCAAACGGG